rnacentral:rRNA from 1 species
CCUACGGGGUGCACCAGUGGGGAAUAUUGGACAAUGGGCGAAAGCCUGAUCCAGCAAUGCCGCGUGUGUGAAGAAGGUCUUCGGAUUGUAAAGCACUUUCGACGGGGACGAUGAUGACGGUACCCGUAGAAGAAGCCCCGGCUAACUUCGUGCCAGCAGCCGCGGUAAUACGAAGGGGGCUAGCGUUGUUCGGAAUUACUGGGCGUAAAGCGCGCGUAGGCGGAUAGAUAAGUCAGAGGUGAAAUCCCCGGGCUUAACCUGGGAACUGCAUUUGAGACGCAUAGACUAGAGGUCGAGAGAGGGUUGUGGAAUUCCCAGUGUAGAGGUGAAAUUCGUAGAUAUUGGGAAGAACACCGGUGGCGAAGGCGGCAACCUGGCUCGAUACUGACGCUGAGGCGCGAAAGCGUGGGGAGCAAACAGGAUUAGAUACCCUCGUAGUC